rnacentral:rRNA from 1 species
UCCCCCACAUUGGAACUGAGACACGGUCCAAAUUCUUACGGGAGGCAGCAGUGAGGAAAUAUUGGACAAUGGGCGAGAGCCUGAACCAGCCAAGUAGCGUGAAGGAUGACUGCCCUAUGGGUUGUAAACUUCUUUUAUAAAGGAAUAAAGUCGGGUAUGGGUACCCGUUUGCAUGUACUUUAUGAAUAAGGAUCGGCUAACUCCGUGCCAGCAGCCGCGGUAAUACGGAGGAUCCGAGCGUUAUCCGGAUUUAUUGGGUUUAAAGGGAGCGUAGAUGGAUGUUUAAGUCAGUUGUGAAAGUUUGCGGCUCAACCGUAAAAUUGCAGUUGAUACUGGAUAUCUUGAGUGCAGUUGAGGCAGGCGGAAUUCGUGGUGUAGCGGUGAAAUGCUUAGAUAUCACGAAGAACUCCGAUUGCGAAGGCAGCCUGCUAAGCUGCAACUGACAUUGAGGCUCGAAAGUGUGGGUAUCAAACAGGAUUAGAUACCCUGGUAGUCCACACGGUAAACGAUGAAUACUCGCUGUUUGCGAUAUACGGCAAGCGGCCAAGCGAAAGCGUUAAGUAUUCCACCUGG